UCUCUCUCUCUCAGGUCUCUCUCUUGGAGAGUUCUCUCACAGAUCUAGCUCUUCCUCAGGUAAGACAUGGUUUGAAUUUUCUUUCUUUACCAUUUCUUAUAGAUCCUAAUCAUGCUGAUUCUAAUAGGAUGUUUCGACCUACUUCUAUUCCAGUUUUUUUUCAAUUUCGAUUCGAAUCACAACAUGUCUUCCACCUUAAGCCAUAACCCUUUGGAUCCAACACUUCGAACUCGCAGUAUCAGAGAAGAAAUUCUGCGAACAAGUACUGGGAGGCAUAAUGGAGGACUUGUUGUCCAGAUCUUUAGUUCAGUGGAUAUGAAAAGUACCUGUUCUUUCCCACGAAGUCGAAUCAUAAAUUGGGUUUCUUGGAGCUGGGCUAAUGGAUCCAACAAGGAAAUCCCUAUUCUUUCCUUUAUUGAAGCA